rnacentral:rRNA from 1 species
UACAGAGGGGGCAAGCGUUGUUCGGAAUUACUGGGCGUAAAGGGCGCGUAGGCGGCCUGUUAAGUCGAACGUGAAAUCCCCGGGCUCAACCCGGGAACUGCGUCCGAUACUGGCAGGCUUGAAUUCGGGAGAGGGAUGUGGAAUUCCAGGUGUAGCGGUGAAAUGCGUAGAUAUCUGGAGGAACACCGGUGGCGAAGGCGGCGAUCCUGGACCGAUAUUGACGCUGAUGCGCGAAAGCCAGGGGAGCAAACGGG